rnacentral:rRNA from 1 species
GUCCACGCCGUAAACGAUGAUAACUAGCUGUCCGGGCACUUGGUGCUUGGGUGGCGCAGCUAACGCAUUAAGUUAUCCGCCUGGGGAGUACGGCCGCAAGGUUAAAACUCAAAGAAAUUGACGGGGGCCUGCACAAGCGGUGGAGCAUGUGGUUUAAUUCGAAGCAACGCGCAGAACCUUACCAACGUUUGACAUCCCUAGUAUGGAUCGUGGAGACACUUUCCUUCAGUUCGGCUGGCUAGGUGACAGGUGCUGCAUGGCUGUCGU